rnacentral:rRNA from 1 species
UUGGGAGCUCUCCCAUAUGGUCGACCUGCAGGCGGCCGCGAAUUCACUAGUGAUUAGAGUUUGAUCAUGGCUCAGAACGAAUGCUGGCGGCAGGCUUAACACAUGCAAGUCGAGCGCCCCGCAAGGGGAGCGGCGCACGGGUGAGUAACGCGUGGGAACAUGCCCUUAGGUACGGAAUAGCCUCGGGAAACUGGGAUUAAUACCGUAUAUGGAGAAAUCUGAAAGAUUUAUCGCCUAAGGAUUGGCCCGCGUUAGAUUAGCUUGUUGGUGAGGUAAUGGCUCACCAAGGCGACGAUCUAUAGCUGGUCUGAGAGGAUGAUCAGCCACACUGGGACUGAGACACGGCCCAGACUCCUACGGGAGGCAGCAGUGGGGAAUAUUGGACAAUGGGCGCAAGCCUGAUCCAGCCAUGCCGCGUGAGUGAUGAAGGCCUUCGGGUUGUAAAGCUCUUUAAUCGAAUUCCCGCGGCCGCCAUGGCGGCCGGGAGCA